CAACCCGGGAUUGCCUUAGUAACGGCGAGUGAAGCGGCAAAAGCUCAAAUUUGAAAUCUGGUACCUUCGGUGCCCGAGUUGUAAUUUGGAGAGGGCAACUUUGGGGCCGUUCCUUGUCUAUGUUCCUUGGAACAGGACGUCAUAGAGGGUGAGAAUCCCGUGUGGCGAGGAGUGCGGUUCUUUGUAAAGUGCCUUCGAAGAGUCGAGUUGUUUGGGAAUGCAGCUCUAAGUGGGUGGUAAAUUCCAUCUAAAGCUAAAUAUUGGCGAGAGACCGAUAGCGAACAAGUACAGUGAUGGAAAGAUGAAAAGAACUUUGAAAAGAGAGUGAAAAAGUACGUGAAAUUGUUGAAAGGGAAGGGCAUUUGAUCAGACAUGGUGUUUUGUGCCCUCUGCUCCUUGUGGGUAGGGGAAUCUCGCAUUUCACUGGGCCAGCAUCAGUUUUGGUGGCAGGAUAAAUCCAUAGGAAUGUAGCUUGCCUCGGUAAGUAUUAUAGCCUGUGGGAAUACUGCCAGCUGGGACUGAGGACUGCGACGUAAGUCAAGGAUGCUGGCAUAAUGGUUAUAUGCCGCCCGUCUUGAACCCCGGGACCCA
rnacentral:rRNA from 1 species